rnacentral:rRNA from 1 species
AUACGUAGGUGACAAGCGUUAUCCGGAUUUACUGGGCGUAAAGGGCGUGUAGGCGGUCUUGCAAGUCAGAAGUGAAAUUCCUGAGCUCAACUCGGGCGCUGCUUCUGAAACUGCAGGACUUGAGUGCCGGAGGGGAUAGCGGAAUUCCUAGUGGAGCGGUAAAAUGCGCAGAUAUUAGGAAGAACACCGGUGGCGAAGGCGGCUAUCUGGACAGUAACUGACGCUGAGGCGCGAAAGCGUGGGGAGCAAACAGGAUUAGAUACCCUGGUAGUCCACGUUGUAAACGAUGAAUACUAGGUGUGGGGGGACUGACCCCCUCCGUGCCGCAGUUAACACAAUAAGUAUUCCACCUGGGGAGUAUGAUCGCAAGAUUGAAACUCAAAUGAAUUGACGGGG